UUUAGCAUGUUUGUUGGCCUCAAGGAUGACCUGUUCAUCUACUUGUGCAACCCAUCCUUCUCCGCCAUGGGUACCCAGGGUCACCGAUCAUACACUGCAUCGACUAACAUUGAUAUAGACGAUGAAGAUUCAAAAUAAGUUGCCUCUCGGUUGGAUAUCCCGAAGCACGGGCUGGCAGGACUACAGUUGGGCAAAGAGAGCUUUAGCAGGGUCGAGGUUGACACCUCACUCGAUGGUCACAUAUUCUUCAAGGAAGGAUGGAAGAUGUUACUCACGUGAACAUGACUUGAGGUGUAUGAAUUACACCAUCGCACACAACGAAGAUAAAUGUUCGACGAGUUCUGGAUUUUCAUGGGUUUUGUUAGUCAUUUCUCUGGUUUUUGUAACCGAACACAUGCAUGUGUGUGUGCUUAUGUGUGGGUAGAGGCUGCAGGAACCAGUAUAUAAAUUUUGGUCUACCUUACUAAUGACUUUCAACGUUGAAUCUGUUAGUGUUCUUUUCUUAUUUAUUUUUUGUUCUCUGUUUCAGUCUGUUGUAUCCGAUUAUUAGUCCCCCCCUAUAGCUUCAGUGUUCUUCUACCACAAAUCAGAGGAGGUUUUGUUAUCUUUUAUUUAUUGUUAAUUCUCCAAACAAGAUCUAUAAAAUCUCUCACUUGAAUGUUUCUGUGCAGGAUUUAAUAGCUUCAGUGUUCUUCUACAACAAAUCAUAGCAGGAGUUAAUCAACCUUUCGCCGGUUAGUAUUCAAUUCUUUGACACACCUUUUCAAGGGAGCAGAAGGUACCUAAUUCACUUUGACAUGUUACAGUUUUUUCAAGUGCUCACAGAUAAGUUUGUUGUUACUUCAAAAGGUUUUGUGCUAAUGUGUUGCUUAGUCCAAAAAAUGAAAUGUAAUCAUGUGGUUCUAGAUGGUUAAAAAUAAGAAGGUGCAUUGAGUCUUGAUUUUUUUUGCAUCAUUAUAUUGAGCCUUUUUAAGGAUAACCUUUUUACUGUUGGAAAUCAUGGGCUAAGUUCUGUGUGUACCGGAAACAGAGAACCUUGUUAACUAUAUUGUAGAGCAGAGUUGAAUAUUGUGUGGACGUUAGUGUUGAAGAAGAUAAGUUCAUUUGUGAGUGCCUUAAUUUGAACACUCUGAUUUUCUGUGCAGCCACACACUGAAGGUAUUACUAAUACUACAUUGUACUUACGUUACUUGCUCUGUUAAGCAUGAGAGUUUAUGAUAGUUGUGUGCAGGUAUAAUUUUUCUAGGUUGAUGCACACCUCUUUACGUUGAGCUAUGAUACGUCUCCGUCGUAUCUAUAAUGUUUGAUUGUUCUAUGUCAAUAUUCUACAACUUUCAUAUACUUUUGGCAACUUUUUAUACUAUUUUUUGGACUAACAUAUUGAUCCAGUGCCCAGUGUCAGUUCCUGUUUGUUGCAUGUUUUUUGUUUGGCAGAAAAUCCCUAUCAAACGGAGUCCAAACGGGAUAA